rnacentral:lncRNA from 1 species
UAAUCAAUUUGGACAAAAGCAGUCUAAGAUUGAGAAUAAACUUCAACUACUGGAAUGCAAAAAGUAAGCUAAAAUAUUAGGUAAGUGAACACCACCAAAAUACAAAUCUGUUGUGUUAAGCUCUUAGUACAAGUCAUACAAAAACAGUUGCAGAUAAUGCCUGGCAGAAGAGUAACGCUCUUGGCUACAGAUCUUACCACGUGCAUCUGUAACCACGUUACAGAUCUUCGCAGUGCAGUUCCCAAAACAGCUGAAGAGCUGGCUGGGCUCUUCAGUCCAAAGCUCACAUACUCAGAUAAUGAACUCACUGAUGUAGAUUAUACUACUUUCACCCACUCUGAGGUUCUACGUAUGACCCCACUGAAGCCAACCUAAUAUCAUAAUCUCAUUUUUUCAUGAGAAAAAAUACGUUUAUACUCAUCAAUGAGUAUAAGGUAAAAACAUUAAAUGAUGAAGGAGAUAAAAAAUGCAGAGGUCACAAAUAUUCUCACCAAGGAGUCACUGGUUCUGAUACAGGCACAGCUCUGUUAAAAAUAGAGGUUUGGGAUACCCUUGCACCAUUUAGUGAAGCCUUUGAACUCGGAUGGACUGACUAAUAAGGGAGACCUCUUAAAGAAAGAUAACAGACAAAGGAAAUUUGAUUGGAGCUAACACUAAAACAUUCUGGAGGUUGUUGCUUCCUGGGGAGAAAGAGGGCUCUCCCUUAACCCGCAGCCUGACAGCUAUCCAGCUACCCACAGAGGGACUAACCUCAGCCACACAGAAAUCGUCAGAAUUGCAGUUCAAGCCUUUUUCAAGCUGAGCAUCCCUCAUCAAAAAUCCAACACAGGAAUAUUAAUAGGCAGCAUGGGAGUCUUUCAGUAACAACAGUGCAAAUAUCUAGUACUUGUAAAAAUGCAAGCAUCCCUCUCAUCUUUAAUCACUUAUAUUUUGAAAUGCUGGAUUGAAGAUCCUUAUUUUAAAAAAAUCUCCAAGAGACUUAUGUGUCCCACACCACCAUUCUGCAUCUUGCUUGAAUAAAUCUGUAACACAACAAGGUACUGAGAAGAAGUUUUUUUCAGGAAGAAAAGUCACAAAGAAAAAUGAUUGUAACAGAUAUCCCAAGAAACAAUUAAAGCCAUCAGCAAAAAACAAAACAAAACAAAAAAAAAA